ensembl:snRNA U6 U6 spliceosomal RNA
GUGCUUGCUUCGGCAGCACGUACACCAAAAUCGGAAUGAUACAGAGGUUAGCACGGCCCUUGUGUAAGGAAGACACGCAAGGUCGUGAAGUGUUCCGUAUUUUU